UACAGAGGUCCCAAGCGUUGUUCGGAUUCAUUGGGCGUAAAGGGCGCGUAGGCGGCGUCGUAAGUCGGGUGUGAAAUCUCGGGGCUUAACUCCGAAACUGCAUUCGAUACUGCGGUGCUUGAGGACUGGAGAGGAGACUGGAAUUUACGGUGUAGCAGUGAAAUGCGUAGAGAUCGUAAGGAAGACCAGUGGCGAAGGCGGGUCUCUGGACAGUUCCUGACAUUGAGGCACGAAGGCCAGGGGAGCAAACGGG
rnacentral:rRNA from 1 species